rnacentral:rRNA from 1 species
GACGAACGCUGGCGGCGUGCCUAAUACAUGCAAGUCGAGCGAUGAUUAAAGAUAGCUUGCUAUUUUUAUGAAGAGCGGCGAACGGGUGAGUAACGCGUGGGAAAUCUGCCGAGUAGCGGGGGACAACGUUUGGAAACGAAUGCUAAUACCGCAUAACAAUGAGAAUCGCAUGAUUCUUAUUUGAAAGAAGCAAUUGCUUCACUACUUGAUGAUCCCGCGUUGUAUUAGCUAGUUGGUAGUGUAAAGGACUACCAAGGCGAUGAUACAUAGCCGACCUGAGAGGGUGAUCGGCCACACUGGGACUGAGACACGGCCCAGACUCCUACGGGAGGCAGCAGUAGGGAAUCUUCGGCAAUGGGGGCAACCCUGACCGAGCAACGCCGCGUGAGUGAAGAGGGUUUUCGGAUCGUAAAACUCUGUUGUUAGAGAAGAACGUUAAGUAGAGUGGAAAAUUACUUAAGUGACGGUAUCUAACCAGAAAGGGACGGCUAACUACGUGCCAGCAGCCGCGGUAA